UUGGGGACUCAGUCAGAUGACCUUCCAGAUCUCAGGUCUGGCAUUCCUGGACCUGCCUAGGAAUUUUCUCAGCCAUACCAGUGACCCCAGGACGCAGGGGGAACCAUCUGCCAUGCUAUAACUACCAGGCAACACAGCAUUUCUCUGUCUGCAGUUUGAUGUUUCAUAUGGCAACCACUGCACAUUUUACUAACGAUAGCCUUGGCCACCAAACCCAAUUGGUUAACUGGCUCCUCUCCAAGGUAGAACGAGUGUCUCUCCUGGGCCUCUUUCUCUGUCCAGUGAGACUAAUUCAUCAUGUGUACAGGAAAGUCCCUUCUAAAUCAUAGCCAAAAACUCUUCUUUUUCCUGGAGCCCAGAUAAGCUGGGACAGAGUUCACUGUUUUGCAAGUUUCAGAGGUGAAAGUCACUGUCAUUAAAAAAAAAAAAAAAUUGGCAGAAAGUCUAGAGAUGAUUCACGCUGGGAAUUCUGACUGGUUGAUAGCAUAUUCAUUCACAGUCUAAUAAAUCAUUCGCCAGGGAGGGACAGGGGAGGACCGAGAGACUCCAGAGAGGGAAAGCAGAGCGGGAUCCCUGGGGGGAAUAAGCAUUCCUGGCGUCCCUGACUCUACCUGGCGGCUACAGCUUUUUCCUGAGGGAGGAUGUACUUGGGGGUGUGUGACGGAGUUUGGCUGGACGCGCAAAAGGGGAGCGGCUGCUGGAGCUCCGCUUAUGGGCCGGGCCUGAAAUCAGUGGAGACACAGCACACAUCACAGAAAGAGAAGAGCAGGGUGCUGUGAGAAGAGCAUCAGACUACUGACCUGGGGACUGGCUCUGAGCCCAGAUUUGUCACUUGGCUAAGCUGUGUGACCCAGGAGAAGCCACAUGCCUGUUCUGUUCUUGAGAAGAGAGCAGACCCUUUGCUCUCCAAGGUCUGUCCUGACCCUGUGGAUCUCUGAUUCUCUGACUUUCUCUCUUGUGGACACUAGGGACUUAGCCAUUAUAUCUUUUCUCUUUAAACUCCAAGCCAGCACACCAGCUCUGAGAGGGUGAAGCAGUUCUGGUAGCAAUGCCGUUAACCUGGAAUCAAGAAUGCAGUCGUCAAAGAGCCACUUAUGGCAGAUCAGUAUCUGGACGCUUAACCCUACAAGUUGCUUGUGACGGAAUUGGAGGGUGUGGCAAGGGGCCAGUGGCAGGAGAGACCCUUGGAGUGCAGCCGAGAGCCAGGACUUGGCUGAGAAGACCUGGAUUCUGGAGCAGUCCUCCACUACUGCAGAGCCCAUGUUUAGGGCUUAACUGAUUCAAUAAUGAGAAUAAUAAUUUAGGUCCGUAUAGACAAAAGAAAUGGGCCAGUUCAGGAAAUUAUUGAAUAAUUCAAGUAGAACAGUACACCUGAAAAAAUCAGGAAAUAGAAAAUAAUCCUCUUACCAUACAAUUGCUUCAAUUUUCAUUUCCUGAUUAAAAGAAAACAUGCCUCAAUGAAUGAUCUGUUUUCUCAAACAUCCCUCCUCCCUCCUUUCUUCAUCUCUCAAAUCUGCCCCUUUCUCCUUGCUUGCCCCGAGUUUCAAGUCCUGAGAUCAGAAUUUCAGGAUGGAAACCUUAAUGUAGAGGAUGAGA